rnacentral:misc_RNA from 1 species
GAAAUGCGAUAAGUAAAGUGAAUUGCAGAAUUCAGUGAAUCAUCGAAUCUUUGAACGCACAUUGCGCCCGCCAGCAUUCUGGCGGGCAUGCCUGUUCGAGCGUCAUUUCAACCCUCGAGCCCCCCCGGGGGCCUCGGUGUUGGGGGACGGCACACCAGCCGCCCCCGAAAUGCAGUGGCGACCCCGCCGCAGCCUCCCCUGCGUAGUAGCACACACCUCGCACCGGAGCGCGGAGGCGGUCACGCCGUAAAACGCCCAACUUUCUUAGAGUUGACCUCGGAUCAGGUAGGAAUACCCGCUGAACUUAAGC